GGCUCGGGGGUCCCAGUUCCGA
rnacentral:siRNA from 1 species